rnacentral:rRNA from 1 species
AGUGAACGCUGGCGGUAGGCCUAACACAUGCAAGUCGAACGGCAGCACAGUAAGAGCUUGCUCUUACGGGUGGCGAGUGGCGGACGGGUGAGGAAUACAUCGGAAUCUACUUUUUCGUGGGGGAUAACGUAGGGAAACUUACGCUAAUACCGCAUACGACCUACGGGUGAAAGCAGGGGAUCUUCGGACCUUGCGCGAUUGAAUGAGCCGAUGUCGGAUUAGCUAGUAGGCGGGGUAAAGGCCCACCAAGGCGACGAUCCGUAGCUGGUCUGAGAGGAUGAUCAGCCACACUGGAACUGAGACACGGUCCAGACUCCUACGGGAGGCAGCAGUGGGGAAUAUUGGACAAAGGGCGCAAGCCUGAUCCAGCCAUACCGCGUGGGUGAAGAAGGCCUUCGGGUUGUAAAGCCCUUUUGUUGGGAAAGAAAAGCAGCAGGUUAAUACCCCGCUGUUCUGACGGUACCCAAAGAAUAAGCACCGGCUAACUUCGUG